UUGAUUCAUUUGUAUUUUGCCUUUCGGCCACUCAGAAAUGCUUAUAAAAACAAAGAGUUUAAGUGUCCUCGGCGGCACCGAAGCGCGCGCCGAAGCAACAAGUGGUAAGUUCACAUAGGGUUUGGGAGUUAUAAACUCGAUAAUGAUCCCUCCGCUGGUUCACCAACGGAGA
rnacentral:misc_RNA from 1 species